rnacentral:rRNA from 1 species
GACGAACGCUGGCGGCGUGCCUAAUACAUGCAAGUAGAACGCACAGUUUAUACCGUAGCUUGCUACACCAUAGACUGUGAGUUGCGAACGGGUGAGUAACGCGUAGGUAACCUGCCUGGUAGCGGGGGAUAACUAUUGGAAACGAUAGCUAAUACCGCAUAAUAUUAAUUAUUGCAUGAUAAUUAAUUGAAAGGUGCAAUUGCACCACUACCAGAUGGACCUGCGUUGUAUUAGCUAGUAGGUGAGGUAACGGCUCACCUAGGCGACGAUACAUAGCCGACCUGAGAGGGUGAUCGGCCACACUGGGACUGAGACACGGCCCAGACUCCUACGGGAGGCAGCAGUAGGGAAUCUUCGGCAAUGGACGAAAGUCUGACCGAGCAACGCCGCGUGAGUGAAGAAGGUUUUCGGAUCGUAAAGCUCUGUUGUAAGAGAAGAACGGGUGCGAGAGUGGAAAGUUCACACUGUGACGGUAUCUUACCAGAAAGGGACGGCUAACUACGUG